AUUCAACUGAUAAGUCCCAAAUAGGAUGAAAUAAGCAUCUUGGAU
rfam:Schistosoma mattheei strain Denwood, Zambia genome assembly, scaffold: SMTD_scaffold0000667